rnacentral:rRNA from 1 species
CCCUUAGAUGUUCUGGGCCGCACACGCGCUACACUGAAGGAGGCAGCGUGUACUCCUGGAUCGAAAGAUUUGGGUAACCCGCGAAUCUCAUUCGUGCUAGGGAUUGAGGUUUGCAAUUAUCCUUCAUGAACGAGGAAUUCCCAGUAAGUGCAAGUCAUAAGCUUGUGCUGACUACGUCCCUGCCCUUUGUACACACCGCCCGUCGCUACUACCGAUUGAAUGAUUUAGUGAGGACUUCGGACUGGGACCGAUGCGGCUUUCGGGCUGCGUCGGUAUUCUGGAAAGAUGUCCAAACUGUAUCAUUUAGAGGAAGUAAAAGUCGUAACA